rnacentral:rRNA from 1 species
UUCAACAACCAUGCCACCCUGAAUGUGCCCGAUUUCAUCUGAUCUCGGAAGCUAAGGAGGGUCAGGCCUGGUUAGUACUUGGAUGGGAGACCACCUAGGAAUACCAGGUGCUGUAGGCG